UAAUAAGUGUUUUAUGGCACUUUUUAAAUCCAUAUCCACCUUGUGUGCAAUGUACAGUCGAUCUUCUUCAUGGAGAUCGACCAAACAUCAACCUUUAUCUUUUAACUCUUUGUCUGAAAAAUAUUAUGAAUAAACAAUUCAAAAUA
rnacentral:misc_RNA from 1 species